GCUUGCUUUCUUUGCUGACGAGCGGCGGACGGGUGAGUAAUGCCUGGGAAAUUGCCCUGAUGUGGGGGAUAACCAUUGGAAACGAUGGCUAAUACCGCAUGAUGCCUACGGGCCAAAGAGGGGGACCUUCGGGCCUCUCGCGUCAGGAUAUGCCCAGGUGGGAUUAGCUAGUUGGUGAGGUAAGGGCUCACCAAGGCGACGAUCCCUAGCUGGUCUGAGAGGAUGAUCAGCCACACUGGAACUGAGACACGGUCCAGACUCCUACGGGAGGCAGCAGUGGGGAAUAUUGCACAAUGGGCGCAAGCCUGAUGCAGCCAUGCCGCGUGUAUGAAGAAGGCCUUCGGGUUGUAAAGUACUUUCAGUCGUGAGGAAGGGGGUAUCGUUAAUAGCGGUAUUCUUUGACGUUAGCGACAGAAGAAGCACCGGCUAACUCCGUGCCAGCAGCCGCGGUAAUACGGAGGGUGCGAGCGUUAAUCGGAAUUACUGGGCGUAAAGCGCAUGCAGGUGGUUCGUUAAGUCAGAUGUGAAA
rnacentral:rRNA from 2 species